UCGAGAAUUUUUCUCAAUGGGCGCAAGCCUGAAGGAGCGACGCCGCGUGGGGGAUGAAGGGUUUCGAUCCGUAAACCCCUGUCAUUUGCGAACAAACCCUGAGGUUUAAGAGAUAUCAGGCUGAUUGUAGCGAAAGAGGAAGGGACGGCUAACUCUGUGCCAGCAGCCGCGGUAAUACAGAGGUCCCAAGCGUUGUUCGGAUUCACUGGGCGUAAAGGGUGCGUAGGUGGCUUGGUAAGUUCGAUGUGAAAUCUCCGGGCUUAACCCGGAAAUGGCAUUGAAUACUAUUGAGCUGGAGGUUUGGAGGGGGGACUGGAAUUCUCGGUGUAGCAGUGAAAUGCGUAGAUAUCGAGAGGAACACCAGUGGCGAAGGCGAGUCCCUGGACAACACCUGACACUGAGGCACGAAAGCUAGGGGAGCAAACAG
rnacentral:rRNA from 1 species